AUUGAACGCUGGCGGCAGGCCUAACACAUGCAAGUCGAACGAGUGGCGGACGGGUGAGUAAUGUCUGGGAAACUGCCUGAUGGAGGGGGAUAACUACUGGAAUCGGUAGCUAAUACCGCAUACCAUCGGAUGUCCACAGAUGGGAUUAGAUAGUAGGUGGGGUAAAGGCUCACCUAGGCGACGAUCCAUAGCUGGUCUGAGAGGAUGACCAGCAACACUGGAACUGAGACACGGUCCAGCCUCCUACGGGAGGCAGCGGUGGGGAGUAUUGCACAAUGGGCGCUAGCCUGAGGCAGCCAUGCCGCGUGUAUGAAGAAGGCCUUCGGGUUGUAAAGUACUUUCAGCGGGGAGGCGUUACCCGCAGAAGAAGCACCGGCUAACUCCGUGCCAGCAGCCGCGGUAAUAC
rnacentral:rRNA from 1 species